rnacentral:rRNA from 1 species
UCUACGGGGUGCAGCAGUGAGGAAUAUUGGUCAAUGGGCGCAAGCCUGAACCAGCCAAGUCGCGUGAGGGAUGACGGUCCUAUGGAUUGUAAACCUCUUUUGUCGGGGAGCAAGGCCCGCCACGUGUGGCGGGAAGGAGAGUACCCGAAGAAAAAGCAUCGGCUAACUCCGUGCCAGCAGUCGCGGUAAUACGGGGGGUGCAAGCUUUGUCCGGAAUCAUUGGGCGUAAAGAGUUCGUAGGCGGCAUGUAAAGUCAGGUGUUAAAGGCGCAGGCGCAACCUGUGUAUGGCACUUGAUAAUUGCAAGCUGGAAUGCGGUGGAGGUAAAGGGAAUUCCUGGUGUAGCGGUGAAAUGCUUAGAUAUCAGGAGGAACAUCGGUGGCGUAAGCGCUUUACUGGGCCGUAAUUGACGCUGAGGAACGAAAGCCAGGGUAGCAAAUGGGAUUAGAUACCCGGGUAGUC